GGAUGAACGCUGGCGGCGUGCCUAAUACAUGCAAGUCGAGCGAACGGACGAGAAGCUUGCUUUUCUGAUGUUAGCGGCGGACGGGUGAGUAACACGUGGAUAACCUACCUAUAAGACUGGGAUAACUUCGGGAAACCGGAGCUAAUACCGGAUAAUAUUUUGAACCGCAUGGUUCAAAAGUGAAAGACGGUCUUGCUGUCACUUAUAGAUGGAUCCGCGCUGCAUUAGCUAGUUGGUAAGGUAACGGCUUACCAAGGCAACGAUGCAUAGCCGACCUGAGAGGGUGAUCGGCCACACUGGAACUGAGACACGGUCCAGACUCCUACGGGAGGCAGCAGUAGGGAAUCUUCCGCAAUGGGCGAAAGCCUGACGGAGCAACGCCGCGUGAGUGAUGAAGGUCUUCGGAUCGUAAAACUCUGUUAUUAGAGAAGAACAUAUGUGUAAGUAACUGUGCACAUCUUGACGGUACCUAAUCAGAAAGCCACGGCUAACUACGUG
rnacentral:rRNA from 1 species